GUGAGGAAUAUUGCGCAAUGGAGGCAACUCUGACGCAGCCAUGCCGCGUGCAGGAAGAAGGCGCUACGCGUUGUAAACUGCUUUUAACCGGGAAGAAACCCCAGGACGUGUCCUGGGUUGACGGUACCGGAGGAAUAAGCACCGGCUAACUUCGUGCCAGCAGCCGCGGUAAUACGAAGGGUGCAAGCGUUAUCCGGAUUCAUUGGGUUUAAAGGGUGCGUAGGCGGAGCGUUAAGUCGAUGGUGAAAUCCUGCAGCUUAACUGUAGACUUGCCAUUGAUACUGGCGCUCUUGAGUGCGCUGGAAGUGGGCGGAAUGUGCCGUGUAGCGGUGAAAUGCUUAGAUAUGGCACAGAACACCAAUUGCGAAGGCAUCUCACUAAGGCGAUACUGACGCUGAGGCACGAAAGCGUGGGGAUCGAACAGGAUUAGAAACCCGGGUAGUCC
rnacentral:rRNA from 1 species